CUACUCUCUCCUUACACAUCGUCUUCACCACAUCAAGCCCUAUUAAUCUCGGAGUAUGAUCAGCCCACCUUCAUUUCCGAUGACCCUUCCAAACCCACCCUUUAUCGUCUUCGCAACGAUGCACCAGGCCACUACAGCUCCACAUGAUCCGUCCGCCGUCACUACUCCCCACCGCCAACCACUACAGCCACCCUCGCCCCCAUCUUUUCACCAACUUCACCUUCAUAUGUCGGAAUCAGUCAUCGUGGGUUCUCUUUGCGGCAAGUGUAAGGAAGAAGAGAAUGAGAGAUUUUGGAGAGGAGAUGAGAGUCAAAGGUCGAGGAUUAACGAUAGAAUUGCAUGUGAUGGUGGUCGAGAGAAAGACAUUUACUAGGAGUUGCCAUUGAUCAUGCUAUCUAUACAUGUGCUGCGGGUGGAAAAGGAUUAGGCUACACGCUUAUUCAUCAUGCUGUUCCUUCAUAAAUGCAAUUAUGAAGGUUUGUAGGCUCUGCUUUUCAUAUGAGAGAAUCCACAAAAUUUAGACUCAUAACCACAUCUUAGGAAUUGUCUCACGUGAAAAAUGGAGUACAUAAACCUUCAUAACUAUAUUUAUGAAGCAGCACAACAUCAAUUAAACCUGUAGCCUCAUCCUUUUCCAUCGGCAGCACAUGCAUAAAUUUCAGAGUUAGUACCAAUAUUCUCGAAUCACCAUCGCAUGCAGCUUUAUCAUUAAUCCUUAGCCAUUGACCUUCAUCUCCCUCCCAAGAUCUUUUAUUCUCUUCUUCCCUGCACUCUGAAGGUAAUAGUCGGAGCUCUGCUUUCAAGGGUGGAAGUGGCAAUGACAAUCAUUUUGCUAGUACUCUUCUAUUAUGAAAUCCAAGUUUUGUAAUCAUUUUGCUGAAUGAAUGGUGGGUUUUCAUGGUGCUGUAGUGAAUCCUUGAUGGUUGAAUAAAUAAGAAAUGCAUCUUACAGUAGAUGAGUCAUUUUGUGAACUGUUUUGGUCAAGAUCUGUAACUCACUAUUCUCGUAGAGUAGAUGAGUCAUUUGUACGAUGUAUAUCAUUAUAAGUGAAACAACCAAAGUAUAAGAA